AUUGAAAUCCAAGCUUGUCGCCAAGCCUCGAAGACAAUAUUGGAAAUAAGAUCAAAAGUCGGAGAGCAGAUUCAAUUCGCAGAAUUCAAGCAAUGGACUAAACUCAAGACACCUCAAAUCUGUUGACAAGAUCACAAAUCCAAUCACCACUGCUAGGGCUUUGUGAAAUCCCAAUCACGAUUGUUAAAUUGACUGAAAACACUCUAUUUCAGUUCGCCAAGGCGAAGCACAGGUGAGAUCAAAGUCGCGAAUCUUCAGCGUAGGCUCCAUCUGUCGGAUCUGAACCAGGAACUUUGAAUCGAGUUCAGUUCUUAACCAAUGAUCAAGCUCGCAUUUGAAUAGGAGCUUGAGAUGAGUUCGGAUCUGAAAAAAAGGAACUUCCAAAUGAAUUUGUAUCUCGACCAGGGAGUCAGAUCUCAAUGAUCGAUCGUGGUUGGCUAGGGCUUCUAUAAACUAGAAGAUCACGAAUCGACUUCAUACUUCAAAGCGAUUAGAUCACAAUGGUCGUCUCCUGGGCUCCUGAUAGAUCCAAUCAAGUUAGGGCUUCGAACUGGCGUCGAACUCGAAUCUCGAAUGAAGGCUUCAAUUUCCUGACAGAUUUGAAUCAAAUUCAAGGCUUCGCAGGAGAUCACUAACCAGCUAGGGUUCAUAUGGUUGAUUCAACGAUUGCAACACGAGAUUCAACCCAGAGUAGAAGGUUGAACUGCAAUUAAACUUAGAUUUGAAGUUGUGGAGAUGCGAUUUCACUUUGAGUCUCGAUGUGAUUUCUCAAGUCGAUUUCAUAGAUUGACUGGCGAUGUGUUCGCUAUUGAGAAUGGAGGUUGACUUCGCAGAUUCUUGGUUCACUUCGAACGAAAUUUGAGAUCUCUAGCUGCUGCGACUGAGAUUUUUUGUGGGCAACUGACUCAAGCCAGUUUCUAGGUAAUGAAUCUUGAAAAUUUAGAAGGUUGCGAUCCAAACUCUUUGCUCUGAUACCAAAUGAUGAACUCCAAAUGCAAAUCAAGAAUCAAAUUGAGAGAUACGGGCUAGAUUGAGAAACAAAGUUUUACUCCAAUUACAAUGUAUAUUUUUUAUUCUAAAAAUUAAGUACAAAUGUGUAUUACAUUCCCUACUUAUAAACUACAAUUAAUAGGCUAUUUAAUACACUUAACCUAACUAUAUUCUACUACAUCAAUUAUUAAUAUAGCUUUGUCAAUUUUCAAAACCAGAAGAAUGAAUAGCUUUUGACUUCUUAAAAUUGGAUUUGUAUAAUGAGCUAGGCUACAAAUUCAAAUAGAAGAAGCUUUUUCAAGAUUAGUGUGCAUGAAAGGGACUAAAGUCGGAAAAAAAAAAAAAAAAGGAUAUAGAAAAAGCUGCAUUAGCUUGUGCUAUAUAUGGAGAGCUAGGUCAUCCUUAGGUUUCGGUGUUUGACUUCUUAGCAAUAGAUUUUAUCAAUGACCUAAGCUACAAUUUUCAAUAGGAGAAGAUUAGUGUACAUGAAAGGGACUUAAGUAAUAAGAGGGGGAAAAAAAAAAAAAAAAACUAAGGAAAGAGAAUAGCAAAAUAUGCAUCAGUUUGUGCUAUAAAUGGAGAGUUUUGUUAGGUGAUAAAUUAUUUAGUGGUUCAUAUGCAGUAGAUAGUCCUUCACAUCAUUCAGCAAAUGCUACAUAACUCUAUGUAGAUGACACUCACUAUUAGAGCCCACAAAGUGAUACGACCACUGUGAAGAUGUUGAGAUGUCUAUUUGUGAUUAGCAUAGCGCUAUGUACAAUGCUCUAGAGCACCAAGUUAAUUUUUGGGUUAGGCUCUGUUACUUGAGACAGAAGAAGAUCAAAAGAAAGAGAAGAGAUGGGUUCUAGGUUUGCUUCUUGCGGAUUCAUCUUUUAUGUUCUGCUUGUUUCUCAGUGCACCCACACCAAUUGCAUCAGAGAGAUUACAGAGAAAACCUAGAAAGAUGCUAACAAAGAGGCAUCUGAUUUGCAACAAACUGCCAUUGAUGAUGAUCUUCAAAUUUUCUUCACUGUUGACAAUCUAAAAGUUGGGAAAACAGUUUCCAUCUAUUUCCUCAUCAAAGACCCUUCAACCACCCCUCACAUACUCACUAGAGAAGAAGCCAAUUCAAUCCCUUCCUCAUCAUCAAAACUUCCACAGAUUCUUGACUUUUUCUCAUUCUCCAAACACUCCCCACAGGCCAAAGCAAUGCAAUACACACCCUCUCAAUGUGAGCUUGAACCCUUAAAAGGAGAGACUAAAUUUUGUGCUACCUCCUUAGAAUUCAUGCUUGACUCGGCUCGUGGCGUGUAUAUUGACCCCGGUCUUUUCCCAUUUGAUUAUUGUAUCCGGACUUAGGUUCCGUAGAUUUUGUCAUUGUAUAAUUGUUGUUGUCGUUCUUUAUUUUCUCAUUUGGAGUUAUAGGAUGUGUUGGGCAG